AAGAACAAGGGGUUUAUGUUUUCCCCCACUGGCACUACUUACAAAUAACUCCCUGAAAUUUAGAAGAUCAGAAAUAUAUUUGAAGGUUAAAGUCACUACACAUUCAGGCAAAACAGAACAACUUGCAGAGCUGACAGAUCCAGCAAGAACUCUAAGUGAAACUCCUGCUUCCUUUCUGUAGGCUUCACAUGGGAAAAGAAGAGGCUGCUGCUCCGUAAGUGGGUUUUAGAGAGAUGAAUCCAAGGAUGCUACACCACUUCUUUCUGGUGGAGAUAACCAGUCCAC